AGGAAUAUUGGACAAUGGUCGCAAGACUGAUCCAGCCAUGCCGCGUGCAGGAAGACGGCCCUAUGGGUUGUAAACUGCUUUUGUACCAGAGAAAACCUAUCUACGUGUAGAUAGCUGAUAGUAUGGUAAGAAUAAGCAUCGGCUAACUUCGCGCCAGCAGCCGCGGUAAGACGAAGGAUGCAAGCGUUAUCCGGAUUCAUUGGGUUUAAAGGGUGCGUAGGCGGGCUUGUAAGUCAGUGGUAAAAUCUCUCAGCUUAACUGAGAAACUGCCAUUGAUACUGCAGGCCUAGAGUAUAGAUGACGUUGGCGGAAUAUGACAUGUAGUGGUGAGAUACUUAGAUAUGUCAUAGAACACCGAUUGCGAAGGCAGCUAACGAAACUAUAACUGACGCUGAGGCACGAAAGUGCGGGGAUCAAACA
rnacentral:rRNA from 1 species